rnacentral:sRNA from 1 species
GAGGUGGGCAAGUUAGUUGCUCCAAAUACAAGAUAAAGUGAUUGAGUUCUUUUCUCAAGCGGGAGUCGGAGUUUAUCCACUCUUAGAGCCCCAGCAGCUACUAUUAAUGAGUGUCUGGAAUAUGUUCCUGGCAUUUCACCUACACUCUCUCCAAUCCUUCCAAGAAACUCACAAAGCAGGGCUUUUUCUUGAACUUCUCUUCCUCACAACAGUUAAAUCAUCCAUUUAAAGAUGUCAGACAAGCUCUGUGUUCUAAGAACUGUUUACUGAGCUCUAUGGAGACAUAGCUACAAGCACCACAUGCUGGACCCCUGAAUAUGGAGGGCCAACUACACUAGAAACACACAUGCUAGCUGGGAAAGAUGCUGGCUUAAGGGGAAAAAGAAAGAAAGGGGAGUAGAAAUAGAAGAAAAGAAAUGAGAAGGAGAAAACAAAGGAGCAGGAAAAUGAGAAAAGAAAAAUGUAGGAAAAAGUUGUAAGUGCUUACCACAUGCUGUGCCCAUACACAGAGUGCACAUUAUCCAGCUUAGUCGCCACAGAAUGCUCCCAGUGUUAUGAUCCUCAUUUUAUCAAUGAAGAAACUGGGAGAUUUGUUCAAAGUUACACACUAGUAAAAAAGUAAAUCUUGGAGUGCAACAUAGGU